rnacentral:rRNA from 1 species
AUUGAACGCUGGCGGCAGGCCUAACACAUGCAAGUCGAGCGGAUGAAGGGAGCUUGCUCCUGGAUUCAGCGGCGGACGGGUGAGUAAUACCUAGGAAUCUGCCUGGUAUUGGUGUAUGACGUCCGGAAACGGGCGCUGAUACCGCAUACGUCCUGAGGGAGAAGGUGGGGGAGCUUCGGACCUCACGCUAUCAGAGGAGCCUAGGUCGGAUUAGCUAGUUGGUGGGGUAAAGGCCUACCAAGGCGACGAUCCGUAACUGGUCUGAGAGGAUGAUCAGUCACACUGGAGCUGAGACACGGUCCAGACUCCUACGGGAGGCAGCAGUGGGGAAUAUUGGACAGUGGGCGAAAGCCUGAUACAGCCAGGCCGCGUGUGUGAAGAAGGUCCUCGGAUUGUAAAGCACGCUAAGUUGGGAGGAAGGGCAGUAAGUUAAUACCUUGCUGUUUUGACGUUACCAACAGAAUAAGCACCGGCUAACUUCGUG